UACGAAGGGGGCUAGCGUUGCUCGGAAUCACUGGGCGUAAAGGGUGCGUAGGCGGGUCUUUAAGUCAGGGGUGAAAUCCUGGAGCUCAACUCCAGAACUGCCUUUGAUACUGAAGAUCUUGAGUUCGGGAGAGGUGAGUGGAACUGCGAGUGUAGAGGUGAAAUUCGUAGAUAUUCGCAAGAACACCGGUGGCGAAGGCGGCCCACUGGUCCGGUACUGACGCUGAGGUGCGAAAGCGUGGGGAGCAAACAGG
rnacentral:rRNA from 1 species